GAUGAACGCUGACAGAAUGCUUAACACAUGCAAGUCUUUGGCGAAUCUGUGCUUGCACAGGCUAGCCUAGGCGGACGGGUGAGUAACGCGUAAAGAACUUGCCCUGCAGACAGGGAUAACAGACGGAAACGACUGAUAACACCUGAUACAAUUGCCGGCACGCAUGUGCCUGGCAAUGAAAAGAGAUGCUGCGGGAGAGCUUUGCGUCCUAUUAGCUUGUUGGUGAGGUAACGGCUCACCAAGGCGAUGAUAGGUAGCCGGCCUGAGAGGGUGAACGGCCACAAGGGGACUGAGAUACGGCCCUUACUCCUACGGGAGGCAGCAGUGGGGAAUAUUGGACAAUGGGGGCAACCCUGAUCCAGCAAUUCUGUGUGCACGAAGAAGGUUUUCGGAUUGUAAAGUGCUUUCAGCAGGGAAGAAGAAAGUGACGGUACCUGCAGAAGAAGCGACGGCUAAAUACGUGCCAGCAGCCGCGGUAAUACGUAUGUCGCAAGCGUUAUCCGGAAUUAUUGGGCGUAAAGCGCGCGUAGGCGGUUUUUUAAGUCUGAUGUGAAAGCCCACGGCUCAACCGUGGAGGGUCAUUGGAAACUGGAAAACUUGAGUGCAGAAGAGGAAAGUGGAAUUCCAUGUGUAGCGGUGAAAUGCGCAGAGAUAUGGAGGAACACCAGUGGCGAAGGCGACUUUCUGGUCUGUAACUGACGCUGAUGUGCGAAAGCCAGGGGAGCGAACGGGAUUAGAUACCCCGGUAGUCCUGUCCGUAAUCGAUGGGUACUAGGUGUAGGAGGUAUCGACCCCUUCUGCGCCGGAGUUAACGCAAUAAGUACCCCGCCUGGGGAGUGCGGCCGCAAGGUUGAAACUCAAAGGAAUUGACGGGGGCCCGCACAAGCGGUGGAGUAUGUGGUUUAAUUCGACGCAACGCGAAGAACCUUACCAGGUCUUGACAUUGAUGGACAGAACUAGAGAUAGUUCCUCUUCUUCGGAAGCCAGAAAACAGGUGGUGCACGGUUGUCGUCAGCUCGUGUCGUGAGAUGUUGGGUUAAGUCCCGCAACGAGCGCAACCCCUCUCUUAUGUUGCCAGCACGUAAUGGUGGGAACUCAUGAGAGACUGCCGCAGUCAAUCCGGAGGAAGGCGGGGAGGACGUCAAAUCAUCAUCCCCCUUAUGACCUGGGCUGCACACGUACUACAAUGGGAGUUAAUAGACGGAAGCGAGAUCGCGAGAUGGAGCAAACCCGAGAAACACUCUGUCAGUUCGGAUCGUAGGCUGCAACUCCCCUACGAGAAGUCGGAAUCGCUAGUAAUUCCAGGUCAGCAUAUUGCGGUGAAUACGUUCCCGGGCCU
rnacentral:rRNA from 1 species